rnacentral:lncRNA from 1 species
UUUCACAUUUAAUCUAGUUUAUGCGAUCCGUACGGAUCUUUUAACACCGAUCAUCAUAUAUAUUGUAAGCACAACUAACAUUGUAUGGCCGAUUCGAAACAUGAAAUCUUCAUAGUAGGCAAUGUCGCUUAUUGUUUUGUUUUUGUUUGUAUUUAACCUAAAUUCAUGUCUCUCCAUAGAUACCCUAUGGGUAACUAGGUUUUGGGAUGAUAAACAGCGUUAAAUAAUUUGAAAAUCCUCGUGCUUUGUG